CGGGUGAGUAUAAAGUAGGGAUCUGCCUUGUAGACGGGGAUAACUUGGGGAAACUCGAGCUAAUACCGGAUAAGCACUAAGGUGGAAAGCAUGGGACCGAAAGGCCAUGCGCUAUAAGAUGAACCUACGUCGGAUUAGCUAGUUGGUUGGGUAAAGGCUGACCAAGGCGAAGAUCCGUAGCUGGUCUGAGAGGAUGAUCAGCCACACUGGGACUGAGACACGGCCCAG
rnacentral:rRNA from 1 species